AGCUAGUUGGUGGGUAAAUGGCCUACCAAGGCAAAGAGGUUAGUCGGCCGGAGAGGGUGUACGACCACAAUGGAACUGAAACACGGUCCAGACUCCUACGGGAGGCAGCAGUGGGGAAUAUUGCACAAUGGGCGCAAGCCUGAUGCAGCGACGCCGCGUGGAGGAUGAAGGCUUUCGAGUUGUAAACUCCUGUUAAGUGGGAAGAAAGACCGUUGGUGAAUAAUCAACGGGGAUGACGGUACCACUAGAGAAAGCACCGGCAAACUUCGUGCCAGCAGCCGCGGUAAUACGAAGGGUGCAAGCGUUGUCCGGAAUCAUUGGGCGUAAAGAGCUCGUAGGCGGUUCAGUAAGUCGGGUGUGAAAGUUCCGAGCUCAACUCGGAGAGGCCACUCGAUACUGCUGUGACUAGAAUCCAGUAGGGGAGUGUGGAAUUCCUGGUGUAGCGGUGAAAUGCGCAGAUAUCAGGAGGAACACCAGCGGCGAAGGCGGCACUCUGGGCUGGUAUUGACGCUGAGGAGCGAAAGUGUGGGUAGCAAACAGGAUUAGAUACCCUGGUAGUCCACACCGUAAACGUUG
rnacentral:rRNA from 1 species